GAUGAACGCUGGCGGCGUGCCUAACACAUGCAAGGCGAGCGAACCCUUCGGGGUGAGCGGCGGACGGGUGAGUAACGCGUGGGUAACCUGCCCUGCACACACGGAUAACAUACCGAAAGGUAUGCUAAUACGAGAUAAUAUAUUUUAAUCGCAUGGUUAAGAUAUCAAAGCUCCGGCGGUACAGGAUGGACCCGCGUCUGAUUAGCUAGUUGGUGAGGUAAUGGCUCACCAAGGCGACGAUCAGUAGCCGACCUGAGAGGGUGAUCGGCCACACUGGAACUGAGACACGGUCCAGACUCCUACGGGAGGCAGCAGUGGGGAAUAUUGCACAAUGGGCGAAAGCCUGAUGCAGCAACGCCGCGUGAGCGAUGAAGGCCUUCGGGUCGUAAAGCUCUGUCCUCAAGGAAGAUAAUGACGGUACUUGAGGAGGAAGCCCCGGCUAACUACGUGCCAGCAGCCGCCGUAA
rnacentral:rRNA from 1 species